GAUGAACGCUGGCGGCGUGCCUAAUACAUGCAAGUCGAGCGAAUGGAUUAAGAGCUUGCUCUUAUGAAGUUAGCGGCGGACGGGUGAGUAACACGUGGGUAACCUGCCCAUAAGGCUGGGAUAACUCCGGGAAACCGGGGCUAAUACCGGAAAACAUUUUGAACCGCAUGGUUCGAAAUUGAAAGGCGGCUUCGGCUGUCACUUAUGGAUGGACCCGCGUCACAUUAGCUAGUUGGUGAGGUAACGGCUCACAAAGGCAACGAUGCGUAGCCGCCCUGAGAGGGUGAUCGGCCACACUGGGACUGAGACACGGCCCAGACUCCUACGGGAGGCAGCAGUAGGGAAUCUUACGCAAUGGACGAAAGUCUGACGGAGCAACGCCGCGUGAGUGAUGAAGGCUUUCGGGUCGUAAAACUCUGUUGUUAGGGAAGAACAAGUGCUAGUUGAAUAAGCUGGCACCUUGACGGUACCUAACCAGAAAGCCACGGCUAACUACGUGCCAGCAGCCGCGGUAA
rnacentral:rRNA from 1 species